AUCACUUCUGGGCCUUUUGGCUAAGAUCAAGUAUAGUAUCUGUUCUUAUCAGUUUAAUGUCUGACACGUCCUCUAUUCGAGGACAAUAUAUUAAAUGGAUUUUUGGAGUUAGGAAAAAUAAA
rnacentral:snRNA from 1 species